CUAUCUUCGCAGGCCUUUUGGCUUAGAUCAAGUGUAGUAUCUGUUCUUUUCAGUUUAAUCUCUGAAACGUGGCUACGGCCACUUCAAUGAUUAUACUUAUUUUUGGCCUCGGGCCUGUGACCGCUGGGCUUGCCUAUGUCGCAGACCACCGUGUCGCUCGUAUCGCACUACCUCGAGGUGACGCGAAUCAUU
rnacentral:snRNA from 1 species